GACUUUAUGUUUUAAUUAAGAUUAUCAGAAAUUUAUUUUUUAGUUAUGAUCGGGGUGAUUUUUAAAGAUUAUUAAUCUUUAAAAUUUUUUAAUAAAAAAGUUCCAUUAGUAGUGAUUUUUUGAUAAAAAUACUCUAGGGAUAACAGCGUUAUUAUUUUGGAUAGUUCAUAUAGAUAAAAUAGUUUGCGACCUCGAUGUUGGAUCUAGAGAUCGGAUUCUUUUAUGACUGAAGAAGUUAUAAGGGAGAAGUUUGCUCAACUUUUAAAGUCCUACUUGAUCUGAGUUCAGACCGGA
rnacentral:rRNA from 1 species